rnacentral:rRNA from 1 species
GACGAACGCUGGCGGCGUGCUUAACACAUGCAAGUCGAACGGUGAAGCGCCUUCCUUUUUGGUGGGUGUGGAUGAGUGGCGAACGGGUGAGUAACACGUGAGUAACCUGCCCCCUUCUUCUGGAUAACCGCAUGAAAGUGUGGCUAAUACGGGAUAUUCUGGGUCUGUCGCAUGAUGGGUCUGGGAAAGAUAUUGUUUCGGUGGGGGAUGGGCUCGCGGCCUAUCAGCUUGUUGGUGGGGUGAUGGCCUACCAAGGCGGUGACGGGUAGCCGGCCUGAGAGGGUGGACGGUCACAAUGGGACUGAGACACGGCCCAGACUCAUACGGGAGGCAGCAGUGGGGAAUAUUGCACAAUGGGCGCAAGCCUGAUGCAGCGACGCCGCGUGAGGGAUGGAGGCCUUCGGGUUGUGAACCUCUUUCGCCAGUGAAGCAGGCCUGCCUCGUUUGUGGGUGGGUUGACGGUAGCUGGAUAAGAAGCGCCGGCUAACUACGUG